rnacentral:rRNA from 1 species
AUUGAACGCUGGCGGCAGGCUUAACACAUGCAAGUCGAGCGGAGUGAUGGUGCUUGCACUAUCACUUAGCGGCGGACGGGUGAGUAAUGCUUAGGAAUCUGCCUAUUAGUGGGGGACAACAUCUCGAAAGGGAUGCUAAUACCGCAUACGUCCCACGGGAGAAAGCAGGGGAUCACUUGUGACCUUGCGCUAAUAGAUGAACCUAAGUCGGAUUAGCUAGUUGGUGGGGUAAAGGCCUACCAAGGCGACGAUCUGUAGCGGGUCUGAGAGGAUGAUCCGCCACACUGGGACUGAGACACGGCCCAGACUCCUACGGGAGGCAGCAGUGGGGAAUAUUGGACAAUGGGGGGAACCCUGAUCCAGCAUGCCGCGUGUGUGAAGAAGGCCUUAUGGUUGUAAAGCACUUUAAGCGAGGAGGAGGCUCUUUUGGUUAAUACCCAAGAUGAGUGGACGUUACUCGCAGAAUAAGCACCGGCUAACUCUGUGCCAGCCGCCGCAGUAA